UGUGGCUCAGAGGUAGAGCACUCACCUUCCAUGCGUGAGGCACUGGGUUCAAUCCUCAGCA
rnacentral:tRNA from 1 species